CCUACGGGAGGCAGCAGUAGGGAAUCUUCCACAAUGGGCGAAAGCCUGAUGGCGCAACGCCGCGUGGGUGCAGAAGGUCUUCGGAUCGUAAAACCCUGUUGUUAGAGAAGAAAGUGCGUGAGAGUAACUGUUCACGUUUCGACGGUAUCUAACCAGAACGCCACGGCUAACUACGUGCCAGCCGCCGCGGUAAUACGUAGGAGGCAAGCGUUAUCCGGAUUUAUUGGGCGUAAAGGGAACGCAGGCGGUCUUUUAAGUCUGAUGUGAAAACCUUCGGCUUAACCGGAGUAGUGCAUUGGAAACUGGGAGACUUGAGUGCAGAAGAGGAGGGUGGAAGUCCAUGUGUAGCGGUGAAAUGCGUAGAUAUAUGGAAGAACACCAGUGGCGAAAGCGGCUCUCUGGUCUGUAACUGACGCUGAGGUUCGAAAGCGUGGGUAGCAAACAGGAUUAGAUACCCCUGUAGUC
rnacentral:rRNA from 1 species